CAGAUGCACUCUCAUUUCACUUAACACAGAAACUCACACAUUCAUAUGGAGCUUUCAUUUCCAGAUCUCUUGCACAAAUCCAACCCAGGUUAGCUGUGCUGAAAUAUUCUCUCGAGCCUCCUUUUCACAUGGAGUCCUAUGCAACUGAUCGAUAUUCCUUCCCAGAGAAGACUUCCAGAAAUGAGCUGGAAUUCUUUAUUAGUGCAUCUUUGUGAAGGUAAGGACAAAGUGAAGAAAAGCCCCCCACUCCCAGAUGGAUGUUUGUAGAAAAACAUGUAAUCUCCAAAGAGAGCAUACUGGGAUUUUAUAGUUUGAAUUUAGAUGUCAUCUUCCUUAGCAGCUAAGGAGAUGUGCUAAGUGCUGGAUGCAUCCUCUAGAAGAGGACUAAGAAAACAUACACAUUUCAUUUUGAACAUCAACAUUUUAAUAACCACUAAACUAGUAUGAUUGUUGUAUUUCCAGUUGCUUGAGUGGGGCAUGUAAUUUUUCUCUUUUAGGUGACCUGCUUCAUCUUUGAUCCUACAAUCCCCACAAGAGUCAGCAUAUCUAUUCAGUAAAAUGUCUGGCAUGCCUGGCCAUAGUCUGAUCUUGACAUCUUCUAUUCUAGGAUGAUCAUUAAUAUAAUAGCAGUCGAGGGAAUCGUAUGGCAUAGUGAAUUAGUAAUGGCCUAUAGUCUUCUUCACCAGGCCUUGGUUGCCAAUUUGACUCCAGGUUGAUAGUGAUUUACAGUUGCCAUCUGAUGGUUGUUUGGGGCCUACAUGAAAUGAAUUGGUGAUUCUCAGGCCAGUUCCUAAUGGAAUUGUGUCCACAUCAUAAAAAUCAUCACCAAACCAAUUUCUUUCAGUCAAACACUGAAUGGACCAUGUAGACCAAACAUCUCUCUCCAUUAGAGGCCAUCCCACCCACUCCUGAGGGAGGGGAAAAGAAUAUCUUUGAAGGAGUGUGCUCUUGUGUAUUUGUCCUAUGGCUACAUACAGAACCUUAUUAUUAUUACAAAUCACGUAUAUAGCUCCAUAGCUGUAUGGGUCCCUAAAGAAUCUUACAGUCUGAUUCAGGCAAAUAGAAUACAGACCAUGGUGCCAAAAGUGCACAGGGAGACAAGCAGAUUUAAAGGGUGAGACAGAAGGGUUAAAGGAGACAGACGUAGCUCUAUCUAAGUUUUCAUACCAUACAUCAUCACAGUAUCAUAGGAUUAGUGAAAGGAAGGGGGAAAGAAUGUGUUUUAAAGAGAGAGAUUUGAAGAAGGAGACAGAAAGCUCUUGGCAAAAAGAAGGAAGAGACUAUUUCAAGAGCAGGGAGAAAAAAGACACAAAGCUGAGAGCAGGAGAAGGAAAUAAAGGGAGCAUUAAGGAGAGAGGUUUGGGCAGAGCAUACAGCUUGGGAGGGCUGUAGGAGGAAAGCAGGAUGAGCAAAGCUGUGCAGAGCUUGGAAAAGAAAUUGAAGGUGACAAGGUUGGUGCAGCAGGAGAUGACCACUUUAGCUGCAGCAAUUUGGACAGACUGGAGGGGGGGGGGAUGCUCCUUAGACUGUCAAUCCUGACACCUUUCACAGUCCUAGUCACUUGAAAUUUUAAUUUUUUCCAUUUUCCACCCAUUACCACUUCCUUAAAGCUUUCGUGGCUAUUUGUUUAGAAAGCUUUAGGAAAAAGUCCUUCCAUUGCAGAAACCGAAGUACUCAAUAUAAUAUGUCACAUGCAGGAAACUGUGGGAUUUAGUCAUACCUAAAGAUAAUAGGGUCACAAGUGUUUCUAUAUUUACUAUCAAAGCUAUGAAGGGAAAUGCUGAUUUGCAGGUUCCUAUUUAGAGACACCGUUUUUCUGUGGUGUACUUCUGUACUUGCAGAGUCUGGCACACCACCAGUGGCUGUUGUUCUACCUGGGGGAACACUGUACUUGCUGGUGUGCAAUGCAGUUUAUUUGAACAGUGAUAUUAACAUAUUUAGAAACAGAGAUGUGUGAUGCAGCUCCUUUUAGCUCAAAGCACAUUACAGAAAUUAAUUAAGCCACAUUCCACCUCUGUGCAAUGGUAUCGAUACAUCCAUUUCACAGAUGGGCAACCCGAGGCAUAGAGAAGUAAGUUAAGUGACUUGCCCAGUCAUAUACCAAGUAAGUGCCAGAAUCCUAGUCACCUGCUCAAACCACUAGACCAGGGGUGGGCAAACUACGGCCCACAUGCCGCAUCUGGCCCACCAUCCAUUUUAAUCUGGCCCUUGAGCUCCGGCUGGGGAACAGAGUCGGGAGCUUGCCCUGCUCCAGCGCUCCAGCCAGGAAGUAGGGUCGUUGGCCACUCCGUGUGGCUCCCAUAAGCAGCUGCAUGUCCCCUCUCCAGCUCCUACGCAUAGGGGCAGCCAGGUGGCUCCACUCCACAUGCUGCCCCCACCCCAAGCGUUGCCCCCACAGCUUCCAUUGGC